UCAAACUAUACGUUUAUACUCUGAACACUUCCCGUAACCAGAAACCUGUAAAGACUGUACAAAUCUGUCAAUAUUUUGUGUUAUCUCUGUAAACGUUCUUGUUUUGUGACUCCUCUUAGAUACAGUCCCUUCUGUCCAACAGUAUUUAGAGCGGAUUUCCUUGUUUAUUUGUAUAUUUAAAGUUAAUGGUUAUAUAUUCGUUGCUGCUUUUAUGUGAUUCCCUGGCUUUGUUAGCAUAUGUUUAGUGUUUCUGUCUUUGUUUGUGUUCAAUAAAAAUUUAAAAUAUUAAAAAGUAAUUAUAAAAUUUACUUUGAACUUUGAGCCUCGGGGAACUUGCUAUGAGUCUGAGAACAAACGGUGACUGACAUCUCCAGCUCCCGGCAGCAGCCCGCCCUCGGACACACUCACAGCCAAUCAGAGAAGACCACUGGGAGACUCUGGCCUCCAUUGGCUGAGGAGUGUCAGUGGGCGGGACGCUGGGCGGACCGAAGUUUGGAACCGGGAACGAGUGGACCCGGUCAGAGACCCGAGAUUGGGAGCAGCUCCCCGGGUAAAGGCUGCAACAGCGGCCGGAGUUUUGAAUCCUUCCGAUGGCGGAGGUGAAGAUUCGGGCGGAGAUUCGGUGAGAUGUUUCAGCCUCACAGAGGGAGCCCGGUCUUUCCCCGCCGUGGAUCGGGGCCUGUUGUCCGGAGUUUCCUCCCGGUCCUGUCUCCUGCUGCUGGGAUCCGGGAGCUGGCCCGCAGCGGCUGCCGAUGGAGCUCCGGAGUGUGAGCGCUCCCCUGUGCAAAAGGUCAGGCUGAAGGUCAAGGGAGAACCAGGCGCAAAGCUCCAGCUCCCGGUAACAGCCCGCCCUCGGACACACUCACAGCCAAUCAGAGAACACCAGAGCUCCGGUGUGUGAGCGCUCCCCUGUGCAAAAGGACAGGCUGAAGGUCAAGGGAGAGCCAGGCGCAAAGCAACCGGCAGCAGCCCGUCCUCGGAUACACUCACAGCCAAUCAGAGACCACCCCUGGGAGACUCUUGCCUCCAUUGGCUGAGGAGUGUCAGUGGGCGUCCCGCUGGGCGGACCGAAGUUUGGAACCGGGAACGAGUGGACCCGGUCAGAGACCCGAGAUUGGGAGCAGCUCCCCGGGUAAAGGCUGCAACAGCGGCCGGAGUUUUGAAUCCUUCCGACGGCGGAGGUGAAGAUUCGGGCGGAGACACCGUGAGAUGUUUCAACCACACAGGGGUGCCCGGUCUUUCCCCGCCGUGGAUCGGGGCCUGUUGUCCGGAGUUUCCUCCCGGUCCUGUCUCCUGCUGCUGGGAUACGGGAGCUGGCCCGCAGCGGCUGCCGAUGGAACUCCGGUGUGUGAGCGCUCCCCUGUGCAAAAGGACAGGCUGAAGGUCAAAGGAGAACCAGGCGCAAAGGUAAACUCGGACUUUAGGAACAAAUAAACAGACUUUCCGUCUUUUCCGCCUUUCACACAGAACAUGCCUGAUCUUUGACCACAGCGCCACUUUCGCGCAACAUUCCCAGCAUCGCAGAGCCCCAAAAUUUGUCCUUCAAAUUUAGAAACCUUGUGGAGAAAAUUCCAAAGUUUCACUGCCGUCUGGAUGAGGAAAUUCCUCCUCAUUUCAGUCGUGCUGAGGUGUACUCGGAUUCUGUGACCCCCAUUCCUCACCACAGCCAAAGGAAACAUCAUUUCUCCCUCAACACUGUCAAUACCCUGUGAGACUGUGUCUGUCUCAGUCAGACAGCCUUUUAUUUCUCUAAUUUCUCUAAUCUCUCCAAGGACACUACCUCACCUCCUAAAUCAAUCUGGGAAAUCUCUUCAUUCCCUUCAUCCCACAAGCUGACUCCGGGAGGGAGACCAGACCUGUGCAGUGUUCCAUGUACGCUCUCACCAGGACCCCAUAUACCUUCAGAGGAGAUCUUUAUUCUUCUAUUCAAACCUUACUUCCCAUUCAAUGCUCUUCAUUUAAUAUCGAACUCAAACAGUGAACAGACAGAACACAGCCUCAGCCAUGAAUUUAAAGGGCAGGUGUUGCAACAGUUUGAGCUUCAUACCGGGGGCAACGGAGCAAGCAGGGUGUCACAAAGGGAGGAAUGUGGGAGUGUUGUAUUCUGAGCCCAGCUGUGUGUGUUUGUGUAUCAGAAUCAGGUUUAAUAUCAUCCGCAUAUGUGGUGAAAUUUGUUCCUUUGUGUCUGCAGUACAUUGCAAUACAUAGUAAUAAAAACUAUAAAUUAGAACAAGUAUUUAUAAAAUUAAAUCUGAAAUGUAGUGGCAAACGUGAGGGAAAAUACUGAGGAAGUAUUCUAGAGUUCAUUGUCCAUUUAGAAAUCUGACGGUGGAGGGAAGAAGCUGUUCCUGAAACAUUGAGUGUCUCUUCAGGGUCCUGUAGCAAUGAGCCGAAGGCAUGUCCUGGGUGAUGGGGGUCCGUAAUGAUGGAUGCCACCUUUUUGUGGCCUCAUCUUUUGAAUGUGUCCUGGAUGCUGUGGUGCCCAUGAAGGAGCUGGCUGAGUUUACAACUUUCUGCAGCAUUUUCCGAUUCUGUGCACUGGCCUCUCCACACCAGGCAGUGAUGCAACCAGUUAGAAUGCUCUCCACAGUACAUCUGUAGAAAUUUGCAAGUGUCUUUAGUGACAGACCGAUUCCCCUCAAUCUCCGAAUGAAAUAUGCAUCAAUAUGCAUCAAUAUAUUGGGCCCAGGAUAGUUCCUCAGAGAUGUUGACAGGCAGGAAAUGGAAACUGCUCACCCUUUUCACUUCUGAUCCCACGAUGAGGACUGGUGUGUGUUCCCUCGACUUCCCCUUCCUGAAUCCACAAUCAAUUCCUUUGUCUUCAUGAUGCUGAGUGCAAGGUUGUUGCUGUGACACCACUCAACUUGCUGAUCUAUCUCACUCCUGUACUCCUCCUCGUCACCGUCUGAAAUUCCACCAACAAUAGUUGGGUUGUCAGCAAGUUUGUAGAUGAGUCUAGACACACAGACGUGGUGCAGAGAGAGUAGAGCA